ensembl:lncRNA
AUGGCCAUGGCGGGGUCAUGGUAUGGCCAUGGCGGGGUCAUGGUAGGGUCAUGGUAUGGUCAUGGUAGGGUUAUGGUAUGGUCAUGGUCAUGGCAGGGUCAUGGCAUGGUCAUGGUAUGGUCAUGGUCAUGGCAGGGUCAUGGCAGGCUCAGGUCAGUGAUUGUCUUGUAUCAGUCGGGAUUGGUUGUCUCUGGUUCGCUACGGCUGCAGAUGAAGAGGAUCUCACGGAGCUUUGAAGGGUCUUCUAGAGAGGCCGGUCCAUGAGCUGUUUGCUCCGCUCAGUUGGUUCCAGUGAAUCAACUCUACUUGUGUCGGGUCAUGAAACACAGAUGUGCAGGCUGGAAUAAAGGGGGGAAUCCCCAAAACGCCUAAAUGAAAACCAACUUCAGUUCCACUUGUUUUGAAUCACAAAAACAGACGUCUUGGCUUCAUUUCCUUGGUUUCCUUGUCUCCUAUGUGAGGACGGAGGCUCAACAUUAACUCCAGUGUUUCCCCAUAGUUUACAACUUCAGGGGGGGUAGUCGGGCAAAUUGUAACAGGGUGCCCCCCUGUUACAAUGGGAGGGGAAACACUGAACUCCAUGAUAAUGAUCCGGCUCCACGUAGAGCGGAUGUAAGUUCGUCUGUACUCUCAAAGGAGACAUUUUUAUUAUUCAGAGCAUUUUGAAGAGAACUGAGGCAGCAGAACUUCCUUGUUUGUCUGACAUAUUUUGGCAAUAAAUGUUUCCUGAUUCCUGAGGACGAUUAGUGUCUCCAGAUUAGUUUCUAUACGAAUCCCUCGUCUUCUUCAAUACAGCAUGAUGUCCAUCUAGUAAAUGAUGACGUCUGAACACACGAGGACACACAGACGGCUCCCAAGGCGAGGACAGUGACCUCUGCUUAAUGAAUCAACCAAAGCCUCUAAUUGGCCGGUUAAGGUCCCUGUCAAGUCCCGCCUCCUGGCAUCACACACACACACACAGCUCUUCACACAUGCUGUAUAUGAAUCAUUGCAGCUGCAGGGACUUCAUGUCCUUCGCCCAGGUGUGUCGGUGUGGAGAGACGUCCUGGCCCCCGUAACCCUGUCAGGGUGGAGCAGCUGACGGAGAAGAGGAGGUUGACCGUUGUAGACCAGAAACCAGGAGGGACCAGGAUGGCCCGGGUCCACCAGAGAGACCAGACAAACCUUUUCACUGUCACAGAGGAAGGUCAAAUGUGUGUGUGUGUGUGUGUGUGUGUGUGUGUGUGUGUGUGUGUGUGAGCAGCCCGGGGAGAUUUAAAGUGUGUGUUGCGGAGCCUUAAAUAAACACCAGCCUGGUAAUGUAUAUUGAAUAUCAAAACCUUCCUAUGCGUUGUGCUCUCAGGUUUGUGUGUGUUUGUGUGUGUUUGUGCGUGCUGUUGUCACGGAGACGUGGUUGUGGACAAGCUCUUGUUGUGAUUCCUCAGGAGAGCCGGACAGAAGGAUUAUGAGACAGGAAAGUGACACCCGUAAAAGACACAAUAAAAGCCCCAGAAUGCCGAUAAAACCCGUUAAACCUGAUAAAACCCCUUUAGAAGUCCAGAAUACUAAAAAACACAAAAAGGUCAGAAGCAGCUGAUGACUUGAGGUCAACUGAGACGAGCAGGAGGAUUAUGGUGAUGAAGGUCUCCUCUCUCUCUCCUUGUUUUUACUACAACGCUCUCUGUGAAUGUAAGACACACUCACACACACACACACACACACACACCCUGACACGUGUGUGUCGUCUGUUUCAUUUCCUGACUCACUAUCGUUUUUCUCUGCAGUCGUCAAAAUAGGAUUAGAGCGUUUAAUAAAGGAUGAUUCCCACCAUGAGGAAAUGACUCCACUGUACAACACACACACAGACACACACACACACACACACACACACACACACACACACACACACACACACCUCAGCGUCUUCACUGCUCAGCCACUCAGUUUCCACCAGGUUAUUAAACACCUGAAGGCUUAUAUAAGCUUGCAUACAUACACACGGAUGCUACUGCUCCUCCACACACGCUGCAGCCUCACCCUCCAUGAAUGUGGUGGUGGUGUGUGGUGUUAGGUGGUGGUGUGUGGUGUUAGGUGGUGAUGGGUGGUGUGGUGGUGUUAGGUGGUGUUGGGUGGUGUGGUGGUGUUAUGUGGUGUGAUGUGGUGAUGGGUGGUGUGGU